CCCCGCUUUACAAGCACUCAUCUGUGCAGGACAGGGCACAACCCACACUCGGGACUUGAAUGUGGGUGAACCCUGAAGACAGAGGCGGUCUUGGGGUGUGAAGCCCUCAGUCUGAGGAAUCUGACACUUGUCUCCAGUGGAGGCUGGAGACACUGGAUCCUCUGGAGCUGGAGUUCCAGGUGGUUGUGAGCCACCUGACCUGAGUUCUGGAGGUGGAACUCAGGCCCUCUGCAAGAGCAGUAUAUACGGGAGUUUAACUGUCAUCUCUGCAGCCAAAAUUCUCUGUUCUUCUGUGCUAAAGUGAUAGAUGUAUGGGCUGAGGACUUCGUGUGAAUGGUUCUUAUCAUUGUGGCCCAGCAGUUGAUUUAUUAACCUGAGUAGGAUCACAGCUUCUUUGAGAUUUCCUCCACGUAAUACGGCAUGACCUACAAAGGAGCAUGGUGUUACCUAAUCCUUUCCAACAUGGCACAUUUAUAGAAAGGCAAGAGUCAAUAUUCUUGCUUCAUAGGGGAAAAAAAAAAGUAUUUAGCAUUAAAGCUCUAUGUAGUAUUAGUUAAGUAGUUGAUAAAAUUGAUCCUCAAGGAUUUUUUAGAAACAUAGCAAAUGGAACAACACAUACCUUCAUGAUAAAAAAAAUAUCCUGUCUGUCCAUUUGGCUUAAGUAAACCCAG